rnacentral:rRNA from 1 species
UACGGGGGGGGCAAGCGUUGUUCGGAAUUACUGGGCGUAAAGGGCUCGUAGGCGGCCAACUAAGUCGGACGUGAAAUCCCUCAGCUUAACUGGGGAACUGCGUCCGAUACUGGAUGGCUUGGAUUCGGGAGAGGGAUGCGGAAUUCCAGGUGUAGCGGUGAAAUGCGUAGAUAUCUGGAGGAACACCGGUGGCGAAGGCGGCAUCCUGGACCGAUAUUGACGCUGAGGAGCGAAAGCCAGGGGAGCAAACGAG